UACGUAGGUGGCAAGCGUUGUCCGGAUUUACUGGGCGUAAAGAGCGCGCAGGCGGUCGUUCAAGUCGCGUGUGAAAGCCCCCGGCUCAACUGGGGAGGGUCACGCGAUACCGAUCGACUCGAAGGCAGGAGAGGGUAGUGGAAUUCCCGGUGUAGUGGUGAAAUGCGUAGAUAUCGGGAGGAACACCAGUGGCGAAGGCGACUACCUGGCCUGUUCUUGACGCUGAGGCGCGAAAGCUAGGGGAGCAAACAGG
rnacentral:rRNA from 1 species